ACUGUCCUAUUCUUAGCAUAAACACUGUUGACAGAGUUUAAUUUCUACCAAAUGUUUUUGAAUUUUUUCACAAUUUAGACCAAAAGAAAAAUUUUUUUUCUUUACAAGACUGCUGGGGGGAGGGGGGCGGUAUUAUGGAAUAAAUGCUUGCUAUCCCUGGGACUCUUUGAGUAGAGGCUGUUUGUAGUAAGAGGGGUCCUGAGAGAGAGAUAAGCUGUCUGACCUUGGAGGUCUCCCUAAAUUUGGGGAUAUUUUUACUAUAAUUCCUAUUAAUGACAUUUUGGUUUAUAACAGCCAAUGUUUACCCAAACUUGCUCUCCCCUUACUUUACAAAAAAAAAUCAUAACAGCAUUGCUGAACUUUCAGAUUUAGUGUCUGCUAUAAAGUAACUCUGUUCGUCCAUAUUCCCCUUAGACUGUGACUUCAAGGAUGUUAAUUUCCUACUUAUAGCAAGUCACGAUUACUAGAAAGCAAAUGAAGAAAAGACUCACCCUAUUUUAAAGAGAUGGAAAGAUUCAUAGACAGAAUUGAUACCAGGUGAUUUUAUAUCAAGCUACUGGUUCCUAGACCCCACAUGAAAUUAUUGGCAUAGAACUCUACUGUUGGCCAAAGAGUCUUCACUUGGCUUAGUCAUACUGCUAAAAUAUUCAGAUUUGAUUUUAUUUUCUUAGUGAUUUCACAUGUCUUGUAAGCUCCCUCUCAGAAAUACUACAGAUCUGACCCAACUUGUGUCAGAGCUGUAUGUAGUAGCAGAAAGCUAUUCUAAAGAAGUAUUUUCAACCUUUUUAAGUAGUUUCUAUUGGGAAUCAGGUAAAGACUCUCAAAUGAAAGCCAAUUCAAUUUAUUCUGGAAUCAGAGUUUUCAUUUCUUUCAGCAUCAAUAUUAAAUCUCAUACACAUCAUGUAAGGGUAACUGUACCUUUUAAUACUUUCUAAGGCAAUAGUCCUAGUGAUUUUUUAAAUUAGAAAAUGUUUUGUAUACAAGGAAAAGUACUAAAAAAUUUCAGGAUUUUUAAAAAG
rnacentral:lncRNA from 1 species